rnacentral:rRNA from 2 species
GAUUAAGUUAUUAAGGGCGCACGGUGGAUGCCUUGGCACUAGAAGCCGAUGAAGGACGUUACUAACGACGAUAUGCUUUGGGGAGCUGUAAGUAAGCGUUGAUCCAGAGAUUUCCGAAUGGGGAAACCCAGCAUGAGUUAUGUCAUGUUAUCGAUAUGUGAAUACAUAGCAUAUCAGAAGGCAGACCCGGAGAACUGAAACAUCUUAGUACCCGGAGGAAGAGAAAGAAAAAUCGAUUCCCUGAGUAGCGGCGAGCGAAACGGGAAGAGCCCAAACCAACAAGCUUGCUUGUUGGGGUUGUAGGACACUCUAUACGGAGUUACAAAAGUAUAUAUUAGACGAAUCAUCUGGAAAGUUGAAUCAAAGAAGGUAAUAAUCCUGUAGUCGAAAAUAUAUACUCUCUUGAGUGGAUCCUGAGUACGACGGAGCACGUGAAAUUCCGUCGGAAUCUGGGAGGACCAUCUCCUAAGGCUAAAUACUCUCUAGUGACCGAUAGUGAACCAGUACCGUGAGGGAAAGGUGAAAAGUACCCCGGAAGGGGAGUGAAAGAGAACUUGAAACCGUGUGCUUACAAGUAGUCAGAGCCCGUUAAUGGGUGAUGGCGUGCCUUUUGUAGAAUGAACCGGCGAGUUACGAUUUGAUGCAAGGUUAAGCAGCUAAUGUGGAGCCGUAGCGAAAGCGAGUCUGAAUAGGGCGUUUAGUAUUUGGUCGUAGACCCGAAACCAGGUGAUCUACCCUUGGUCAGGUUGAAGUUCAGGUAACACUGAAUGGAGGACCGAACCGACUUACGUUGAAAAGUGAGCGGAUGAACUGAGGGUAGCGGAGAAAUUCCAAUCGAACUUGGAGAUAGCUGGUUCUCUCCGAAAUAGCUUUAGGGCUAGCCUCAAGUGAUGAUUAUUGGAGGUAGAGCACUGUUUGGACGAGGGGCCCUUCUCGGGUUACCGAAUUCAGACAAACUCCGAAUGCCAAUCAAUUUAACUUGGGAGUCAGAACAUGGGUGAUAAGGUCCGUGUUCGAAAGGGAAACAGCCCAGACCACCAGCUAAGGUCCCAAAAUAUAUGUUAAGUGGAAAAGGAUGUGGCGUUGCCCAGACAACUAGGAUGUUGGCUUAGAAGCAGCCAUCAUUUAAAGAGUGCGUAAUAGCUCACUAGUCGAGUGACACUGCGCCGAAAAUGUACCGGGGCUAAACAUAUUACCGAAGCUGUGGAUUGUCCGUAGGACAAUGGUAGGAGAGCGUUCUAAGGGCGUCGAAGCAUGAUCGCAAGGACAUGUGGAGCGCUUAGAAGUGAGAAUGCCGGUGUGAGUAGCGAAAGACGGGUGAGAAUCCCGUCCACCGAUUGACUAAGGUUUCCAGAGGAAGGCUCGUCCGCUCUGGGUUAGUCGGGUCCUAAGCUGAGGCCGACAGGCGUAGGCGAUGGAUAACAGGUUGAUAUUCCUGUACCACCUAGUAUCGUUUUAAUCGAUGGGGGGACGCAGUAGGAUAGGCGAAGCGUGCUAUUGGAUUGCACGUCCAAGCAGUAAGACUGAGUGUUAGGCAAAUCCGGCACUCAUAAGGUCAAGCUGUGAUGGGGAGAGGAAAUUGUUUCCUCGAGUCGUUGAUUUCACACUGCCAAGAAAAGCCUCUAGAUAGAUAACAGGUGCCCGUACCGCAAACCGACACAGGUAGUCAAGAUGAGAAUUCUAAGGUGAGCGAGCGAACUCUCGUUAAGGAACUCGGCAAAAUGACCCCGUAACUUCGGGAGAAGGGGUGCUCUUUAGGGUUAACGCCCAGAAGAGCCGCAGUGAAUAGGCCCAAGCGACUGUUUAUCAAAAACACAGGUCUCUGCUAAACCGUAAGGUGAUGUAUAGGGGCUGACGCCUGCCCGGUGCUGGAAGGUUAAGAGGAGUAGUUAGCUUCUGCGAAGCUACGAAUCGAAGCCCCAGUAAACGGCGGCCGUAACUAUAACGGUCCUAAGGUAGCGAAAUUCCUUGUCGGGUAAGUUCCGACCCGCACGAAAGGCGUAACGAUUUGGGCACUGUCUCAACGAGAGACUCGGUGAAAUCAUAGUACCUGUGAAGAUGCAGGUUACCCGCGACAGGACGGAAAGACCCCGUGGAGCUUUACUGUAGCCUGAUAUUGAAAUUCGGCACAGCUUGUACAGGAUAGGUAGGAGCCUUUGAAACGUGAGCGCUAGCUUACGUGGAGGCAUUGGUGGGAUACUACCCUAGCUGUGUUGGCUUUCUAACCCGCACCACUUAUCGUGGUGGGAGACAGUGUCAGGUGGGCAGUUUGACUGGGGCGGUCGCCUCCUAAAAGGUAACGGAGGCGCUCAAAGGUUCCCUCAGAAUGGUUGGAAAUCAUUCAUAGAGUGUAAAGGCAUAAGGGAGCUUGACUGCGAGACUUACAAGUCGAGCAGGGUCGAAAGACGGACUUAGUGAUCCGGUGGUUCCGCAUGGAAGGGCCAUCGCUCAACGGAUAAAAGCUACCCCGGGGAUAACAGGCUUAUCUCCCCCAAGAGUUCACAUCGACGGGGAGGUUUGGCACCUCGAUGUCGGCUCAUCGCAUCCUGGGGCUGUAGUCGGUCCCAAGGGUUGGGCUGUUCGCCCAUUAAAGCGGUACGCGAGCUGGGUUCAGAACGUCGUGAGACAGUUCGGUCCCUAUCCGUCGUGGGCGUAGGAAAUUUGAGAGGAGCUGUCCUUAGUACGAGAGGACCGGGAUGGACAUACCUCUGGUGUACCAGUUGUCGUGCCAACGGCAUAGCUGGGUAGCUAUGUAUGGACGGGAUAAGUGCUGAAAGCAUCUAAGCAUGAAGCCCCCCUCAAGAUGAGAUUUCCCAACUUCGGUUAUAAGAUCCCUCAAAGAUGAUGAGGUUAAUAGGUUCGAGGUGGAAGCGUGGUGACACGUGGAGCUGACGAAUACUAAUCGAUCGAAGACUUAAUCAA